GACGAACGCUGGCGGCGUGCUUAACACAUGCAAGUCGAACGGAAAGGCCCCUUUGGGGGUACUCGAGUGGCGAACGGGUGAGUAACACGUGAGUAACCUGCCCUUGACUUCGGGAUAACUUCAGGAAACUGGGGCUAAUACUGGAUAGGAAUCCUUGCUGCAUGGUGGGGGUUGGAAAGCUUCGGCGGUUUUGGAUGGACUCGCGGCUUAUCAGCUUGUUGGUGGGGUAGUGGCUUACCAAGGCUUUGACGGGUAGCCGGCCUGAGAGGGCGACCGGCCACAUUGGGACUGAGAUACGGCCCAGACUCCUACGGGAGGCAGCAGUGGGGAAUAUUGCACAAUGGGCGGAAGCCUGAUGCAGCAACGCCGCGUGCGGGAUGACGGCCUUCGGGUUGUAAACCGCUUUCAGCAGGGGCGAAGCUUGUGGUGACGGUACCUGCAGAAGAAGCACCGGCUAACUACGUG
rnacentral:rRNA from 1 species